CAGAAAAUAGUUUAAUUAUAAAACAUUAAUUCUGGGAAUUAAAAAUAUGAAAAAUUCAUUCUUCUGA
rnacentral:tRNA from 1 species